rnacentral:lncRNA from 1 species
CAGCCUUUGUGAGAUGAUGAUGCAGCCUUCAGCAAGGCUUCAUCUUCAGCUCGCUGCACUGGCCUUGGCGUGCCAUCUCUCUCACACACACACACACACGCGCGCACACACACUCCCAGAGAGUCCUUGUCUGGAGACCUUGAGUCCUAAAAAGCACGGGGGCUCUGCUUGUGGGAGAGAGAAUGAAAAAAGAAUCCCGGAACAGAUAAAAAACCGCUUCUCCUGCAGGAGGAACGAGGCGUCCUGAAUGUUUCUGCUCUAAUCCUCGCUGUGAUGUCUGCGGCGGCGCCAGAUAGACACGAGAUAGCAGCGGCAACACUGUGGAUUUGAUAUCAGUGUCCACCCGUGUGAGAACGCUCCCGGGGAAUGCUGGGUAAAUGUGAUCAACAGCUACUUUGUCUAUCUGGAGCACCUUCAAGGUCCCAGCGGAGGCUUUAAAUGGCCGAGAGGAGGUGGCGUCCCAGGAGAGGCUCGGCCGGAGCAGCACGGGGUUCACGCAGCAGUUCCAGGUCGCCGCCACGCUCGCACUCGCUGUUCCUUUUUCCUAUGCAUAUACCUUUUUCAGAUGUAACUUUAAAGAGGCAUAGGGCAUGGGAAAAUGGGGCUGCAGAGGUAUUCCACCGCUUCACCGGCGUCCUCGCGAGACCAGCGCACACACACACACACACACACACGUCCUGCAGCUGGGCUUGAUUUGUGUUGGUGAAUGUUGCAAUUGAGAAAUAACUUUGGUUUGUGGUGGCGGAUGCUGACAGAAGUGGACGUUUCCCAUGUGUAGACAAUUCUUUGAUUUUGGGCUGUUUCUCUUUUUAAUCCUUUGAUGCUUUGACUUUUGUUCUUGCUGGAAAAAUAAAUAAACACGCAUUUAAACUCAAACUGUUUCAGCAUUUCCUGAUGUGUGUGUGUGGUUACACUUUAUUUUGACACAGUAACAGCAAAAUGAAGGGACAAUUACACAAAUGCACGUGAAUAAUGAGGAGAUAAACGGUGCCAGGACCUAAUUAAUCCUUUAUUUGCUGUGUUUCUUGACACAAAGCUCCUUAGUGAUGAUUUUUUUAAAGCCUAAACCGUCUCAAACACUCAUGAAAUAUGAAAUCUGACACGUUAUGAAGCUCCAGUUAUGAGGGAUGUGAGCAGAAUCACCAGGAUGACGCGUCGCCGGGACCAUCUGAGCUUUCUUUACAGCUCUGGUUGGCAUCAGCCCGUGACCUCUGACCUCUGCUCAUGGAGGAGCCCUCUGUGGCUCGUGUUCUGGCCUCGGCGCCUGUGGAUGUGCUUAAAUGGAUCUCCGGUUCAGUCAACCUUUAAAUGAACGUGUUCUUCUCAUUAUAGCAGCUGCUCUCAAGAGCUCGUCGGGUAAUUGCGUCCCCUGGCGGGAGGUGUCGGUAUUUAAUCGAGGUGGGGAGGAGGAAGCAGCCCCCACAGCUCAGGACACAGAAGAAAUCACCUGAUGUUAUUGCUCCCAGAAUUCCACAGGUGGAAAGGUUCGAACUGUGUUUUGAAGCUAUUUAAGGCGUUUUUGGACACAACUGCGGGACGAAAUGCAAUAAUAAUAAUAAUAAUAAAGUCAAUAAAUGAAUGAAUCAUCUCAUGUUUACUCCGACACGCGGCUGUAAUAUCGCACAUUUAAUGUAAACGUCUACAGUUUCUCACCCGGUGGAUUAAAAAAAAGGGAAGUUGAAAGCAGCAAAUUUGGCAAAAGCGCCGUGAAAAUGUCGGCGGAUUCAGAAAUCAGUUUCAGUUUCGGGGCACAUGAAACUGAACCAGCACCCCCCCCCCCCCCCCCCCCUCCUGCUGACUGUGGAGGCGUACUGACAUCAACGUGCGGGAAUAAACACCCCCGCAGACUUGCGGGCGCCGAAGCUCCGCGUCUCUCGGACAAGUGCGAAGAGUUGGACCCUGGAGCUGAACGGACCCCAUCAUCUCGCAGCUGCCUCCGCUUUGUUGCCCCCCUGAAAACAUGAGACCGAGCGAUGCGGCUGCAGAUGCAUGAGAGGGAUUUUUGGCGUCUGCUGCAACGUUUAACCGCUUCUAAAAUCCAAAGUCCAACUGAUGGCACCAGGGAUGUGAUGGAUUUAAACCUCCUCGCUUCGGUGCCGCUCGGUUCAAACAUCUGCUUGAGUUCUCAUUGAGGUGAUGAAGGUCUCAUCUUCCUCGGUGAGACGUUGCAGCUCUGCUCUGUCAACUGUGACGCUCGCAAAAUAAAAGAAUACAGUUUCUUCUUUGCAAAACGGCUCCAUCUCUCGAGUGAAUCGGCUUUAUUGGAUAAUCUAACAAGAUUAAAAGCAAGCAAGCUAAUUGAUUGGUGCUUUGAAUGCGAGUCUCCCCAGAGAGACAACAAUAGGAUAAAAAGCAUGAAACAUCCAGAUUCUGGCCGAGGUCGGUAGAAG